AUCACAGCCACAGCAAUGCCAGAUCCAAGCGGCAUCUGCGCCACAAUGGGAACUCUACAUUUAAGGUAAUUAUUGAUGUGUAUGUUCUUAUGGCUAUUUUAUUAACUGUUUUGGAUUUGUUUUUACUGGUCAUUUUUUCUUCCCUUCUCUUUUUCUCUUCUCUUGUGGUUUGAUAACUAUGUUUAGUGUUGUGUUUGGAUUGCCUUUUAUAUGUGUGUGUAUCUAUUGCAGAAUUUUGGUUUGCAGUUACCCUGAAGUUUUGAUAUAGGAGUCUCUCUAUAUAUAUAGAUAUAUAUAUAGACACAAGAUUGUCUUAAAUUGUUGCUCUCUUAGUUGCAAGUACAUCUCCAGUAUCCUGCAUUUGUGCCCUCCUCCUCUAAUGAUUUCCGGUUUUAAUAGCAUAUUUGUGUGUGAUUUCCUACCCUUACUAUAUGUAUGCCUUUACCGGUGAGCCUUGUCAUUUGUGAUAUUUUUGUUUCUAGUUGUGGUCUUUUUUUUUUUUUUUUUUCCCCCACUUAGAGAAGUUCCUUUAGUACUUGUUGUAAAGCUAAUUUAGUGGUGCUGAAUUCUCUUAGCUUUUGCUUGUCUGUAAAGCUUUUGAUUUCUCCUUCAAAUUUGAACAGAGCCUUGCUGAGUAGAAUUUUGGUUGGAGGUUUUUUUUUUCUUUCAUCACUUUAAGUAUAUCAUGCCACUCCCUUCUGGCCUGAAAAGUUUCUGCUGAAAAAAUUAGCUGAUAACCUUAUCAGGAUUCCCUCGUGUGUGUUGUUUGCUUCUUUUCCCUAGCAGCUUUCAGUAUUUUCUCUUUGUCUUUAAUUUUAGUCAGUUGGACUAAUAUGUGUCUCAGGGUAUUGCUCAUUGGGUUUAUUUUAUAUGGUACUCAUUGUGCUUCCUGCAUUUGAGUACACGAUUCCUUUCCCAUGUUAUGGAAGUUUUCAGUUAUUAUCUCAUCAAAUAUUUUUUCUGGCACUUUUACUCUCUCUUCUCUUUCUGGCACCCCUGUAAUACAAAUGUUGGUGCCUUUAACAUUGUCCCAGAGUUCUGUUAGACUGUCUUCAUUUCAAUAUUUUUUCUUUUUUCUGUUCCACAUCAGUGAUUUCCACCAGUCUGUCAUCCACCUCGAUUAUUCAUUCUUUUGCCUCCUGUAUUCUGCUGUUGGUUCCUUCUAGAGAAUUUUUUAUUUCUGUUAUUGUAUUUUGCAUCUCUGCUUGCUUAAUCUUUACAAUCUUCUACUUUGCUCAAUAUUUCUUGUAAUUUAUCAACAUUUGCUUCCAGUUUAUUUCCAAGAUAUUGAAGCAUCUUCAUUAUCAUCAUUCUAAAGUCUUUCAAGGAGGUUGGUAAUCUCCAGAUCACCUAGCUGUUUUUCUGGGUUUUUUUCUUGUUCUCUUAUCUGAGUCAUAAUUCUAUAUCUUUUCAUUUUGCUUAGAUUUUUGGUAUGAUCUCCUUUUUGCAGGCAAUAGACUUGUAGCCUCUCUUGCUUCUGAUGUCCAUCCCCCUUGAGGCUGAAGUUGGUAUAGGGGUUUGCUGCAGGCUUCCUGAUGGAACUAGUGUCUGCCCACUGGUAGGUGGAGCUGAUUCUUAUCCUGAUGGGUGGAGCUUUGUCUCUGGGUGUGAUUAGAGGUAGCUGUGUGCCUAGGGGGUCUUUAGGCAACCUGUUUGCUGAUGGGUGGGGCUGUGUUCCCACCCAGUUUGUUGUUUGGCCUGGGGCUUAUCAGCCCUGAUGGGUGGGGCCAGAUUUUUCCAAAAUGGCCACCUCUAGAGGAGUUCACACUGAUGAUUAUUUCCAAGACCUUUGCUCUUAAUGUCCUUCACCCACAAUGAGCCACAGUCACUGCCUGUUUACCCAGGAGAUUCUCCAAGAGCCUCAGGCAGGUCUGACCCAGAUUCCUAUGGAGUCUCUGCCCUGGGACCCAGUGCACAUGAAAGCUUGUGUGUGCCUUUCAAGAGCGGAGUCUCUGCUUCCCCCAGUCCUGUGGAGCUCCUGCACACAAACCCUGCUGGCCUUCUAUGCAAAUGCUCCGGAGGCUCCUCCUCCCAUUGCAAGAUCCCUGGGCAUGGGAACCUGACAUGGGGCUCAGAACUCUCACUCCCAUGGGUGAGCCUCUGCAAUAUAGUUACUUUCCAGUCUGUAGGCAGCCCAGCCAGUGGGUAUGGGGUUGCUUAUUAUAACGUAAUUGCCCCUCCUACUGAUAGGGAUGGAGUAGGCACAGGUAGUUUUAGAAGUCCCAAUAAAGGAACACAGAUAACAAGGGAAACUUAAGGGACAUUGGGAGAUCACUGUAAGUAAAUAAAUUGCUCAAAAAGCCAUCAGAACAAGGCAGGCUUGCUUGACUAGUGGAAGUGCGGGAGAAUCGCCUCAAGUCCUUGAAUGGAAGAUGGGAUUAGGUCUGCAUUCAGAUUCAGACCAAGGGUAGGAGUUUGAGGACCACCCUUCUGCUGAUUUGAAUACACACAGAAUACCAAGCAGGAGCUACCAUUCCCAGAAAGGAAGAGGCGGUCUUUUCCAACCCCCACUCCCCUUGGGUGAUAAAACUGUAGCCCACCAGAUCCUCGGGGAAGAUCCUCCUUGCCUGCCCGCUUGCAUCUCUCACAAGGUCCUAUCCCAAUAAAUCUAUUUCUUGCCCAUUACUUUGUCUCUUGCUGAAUUUCUUCUGCACGGAGACAUGAAGAACCUGAACCUCAGUGAGUCCAGAUACAGGGCAAGUGAUUCUAAUUUAAAACCUUGGGUUCAAGUCCCAAUCUGGGUUUAGGCUGGGUUCGAGUCCCAGCACGUGGGUUCAAGUACCGAUCUGUGUUCUGGCUACGUUCUGGCCGUUAAUACUGUCAGUUUCACUACCAUCUCCAUGUGACCUCCGACCUCCGCUUUGUCUUCUGGAUUAGGAUAUCUUUUUUGAUAGUUUGCAGUCUAUUUUGUUGAAAGUUGUUCAGCAGUUGGUUACAAUUUUGUUGCUUUUAUAAGAGAAGGUGAGCUCCAGUCCUUCUACUCCACUAUCUUAAUCCUGUUGGCCCAGAGAUGUUUUAGAAUUUGGAAUUUUUGUUUCUUUUUGGAACUUCCUAGAAUUUUUAAAAUUCAAAUAUAGUUGAUUUACAGCAUUAGUUUCAGGUGUACAAUAAAGUGAUUUCAUAAACACACACACACACACAUAUAUUCCUUUUUAUAUUCUUUUCCAUUAUGGUUUAUUACAGUAUAUUGCAUAUAAUUCCCCGUGUUAUAUGGUAGGACCUUGUUAUUUAUCUCUUUUACAUACAGAAGUUUGUAUCUGUUAAUCCCAAACUCCUAAUUUAUCCCUCCCCUACCCCUUUCCCCCUUUGGUAACCCUAAGUUUGUUUUCAAAGUCUGUGAGUCUGUUUCUGUUUUGUAAAUAAGGUCGUUUGUGUCAUAUUUUAGAUUCCACACAUAAAUGAUAUUUGUCUUUAUCUGACUGACUUUACUUAGUACGACAAUCUCUAGAUUCAUCUAUAUUACUGCCAAUGGAACUGUUACAUUCUUUUUUACGGCUGAGUAAUAUUCCACUGUACACAUGUAUGCCACAUCUUCUUUAUCCAUUCAUUUGCUCAUGGACAUUUAGGCUGCUUUCAUGUCUUGGCUAUUAUAAAUAGUGCUGUUAUGAACAUUAGGGUGUAUGUAUCUUUUCAAAUUAGAAUUUUCUGCAGCUAUAUGCCCAGGAGUGGAAUUGCUGGAUCAUCUGGCAAUUCUAUUUUUAGUUUUUUAAGGAAUCUGCAUACUCUUUUCCAUAGUGUCUGCAUCAAUUUACAUUCCCAAGAAUUUGGAAUUAUUUUAUAUUCUAGAAUAUGGUCAUGUACCUCACAUAACAUCAUACCUUCAUCAGGGUCUGAAGCAGCAUCCCAUAAUCAAAUAUAUCAAUAUUUUUCUAAUGAAAACCUGAGUAUUCAUGCAAAAUAAGUAAUAAGGAUUGUAAAUAGCCUCACAUGAGUGAGUUCAGGUUCUGGCUCUGAAGAAAUUAUGAAAGUGCUUUUGGUUUUCAGAGUGUCUGGAUUUCAAAAUUGCAGAUGAGAGAUACAGACCACACUAUUCUGGGCUUACAAAGCUGAGGACAGACCAUAAUGGUAUCACGGCUCUUCCUCCUAGGGGCUCCCUAGAACCUUGCUCCUCCAAGCGUGGUCUCUGGACCAGCAGCAUCACCUGGGAGCUUGUUAGAUGUGCUGAAUCUCAGGCUCCAUCCAGAUCUAUUGAAUGAGAAUUUGCAUUUUUAUAAGAUGCCUAGUGGAGUUCCCAUCAUAGUGUGGUGGAAACGAAUCUAAGAACCAUGAGGUCACAGGUUCAAUCCCUGGCCUCACUCAGUGGGUUAAGCAUCCAGCAUCGCCAUGAGCUGUGGUGUAGGUUACAGACACAGCUCAGAUCUGGCACUGCUGUGGCUGUGGUGUAGGCCAGCAACUGUAGCUCCUUUUAGACCGCUAGCCUGGGAACCUCCAUAUGCUGUGGGUGCGGCCCUAAAUAACAAAAUAAAUAAAUAGAUAGAUGCCUAGUGUCCCAGUCCAUUCAGGCUGCUGUUAACAAAGUACCAUAGACUGGAUGGCUUAGAAACAACAGAAAUUCAUCACUUAUAGGAGACUGGGAAGUCCAAGAUCAAGGCAUCAGCAAGUUCACUGUCUGAUGAGAUCCCACUUCCUAGUUCAUAGACAGCUGUCUUUUUACUAUGUCCUGACAUGCUGGAAGGGGUUAGGGAGCUCUUUGGGGUCUCUUUUCUAGAGGGCAUUGAUCCCAUUCAUGAGGGCAUAUUACAGUUUAGGAAGCACGCCUCCAAGUAGCCAUCCGCCUCCCUAAGUCACCAAUCUUUACAUUUGUGCGCAUGAACCGUGACUCAACAUCUGUACAAUCAUUCCUUCUUAUAUGUUUUUUGAAAACAGCUCCAUAAAAAACUAUGUAUCCAUUUUCACAGCUAAUAAACUACCAUUUGUACCAUAACAAAGAAGAAACAACCUUAACUCCAAAUCUGUGCCAUACCACUCACACCUCUGCUCAAAAGAUGCACAGUCUCUCUGGCUGCCAACCAACAUCACUUGAAUGCAUACUUCUUCCUGUACUGGUAUUGAAACACCUGGGGAGGGGCUUCUUUUUAUGAAACCAUAUCUAUCAGUGAAUACUGUAUAAUCCUUUAUGAAAAUGGAUUCAAUAUGAUAUAAAGCAGCUGGAGCCAUAAGUAAGAAAUUAUUCAGUAAAGAUUACAAGCAGGUGAGACACAGAGCAAUGGCCAGGCGUUAGUCCUUUUUGCUAUGGUCCUGGAGAACAGAAUUUUCUAGAAGGGGCAUUUCCUCCAAGGCCCACACCCAGAAUGUUUUUGCAAUAUAGCAACAGCUUUUUGACCUAACACCCUUUACCUUGCACCCUGUUGUUUUUGAAAUCCCAAGGACAAAAAGAAAGGAGUACGUAGGUAGGGUUUUCUCAAAAAUAACAAAUCUAUUCCAUGAAUUUCCUUUGGGAGUAGAGGGAACCUCCAAGAGUCCAAAGAAAAUUUCAACGAUUUAAAAGUUGUGAGCACGGAAGUGCCUCUCAGACUGUAACUGCUUCCUGCCUGUCAGAAGCAGCAAGAAGAAAAUAAUUACAGGAACAAAAUAGUGAUAGCAGCAGCUUUUAGGAAAACUCAACCAUGGUGGAGAAAACCCUGAAAAUCUGUUAAAGGCAAGUGACUCUUCAGCAAACAACGCUCAGUGAGUGGUAAGCGACCUGACAAUGACAAUCCGAAGUGUUUAUUCCACUGGACCUUCUCCACCCAGAGUACCCUGCUGUAGAGCAAGCCAGUGGCUCAUCACAAGGCCCAGCCCACUGUGGCUGCCCUCACACCAGAGCUUCACUGGGUUCCUCAUGCUAAACCCGAUGCCUCAUAUUUCCAUCAGCCUUCUGGUCACCCAGGAUGUCAGUUAGCUUUUCUUCUCACCUUCACUCUGACCACAGCCCCCUCACUCCUCCCAACUACUUCACUUGGGCCCUUGAAGGCCUGGAGCAAACAUAAUUCCCACUCCUCAAGUGCCAAAGAAUGUCCCUCUGUUUACUUCUUGCAUUAAGUGGAGCGUGAACUCUCAAAAAGAUGUGUUAAAGGAGUUCCCACUGUGGCUCAGUGGUAACAAGCCCCAACUAAUAACCAUGAGGAUGCGGGUUCAAGCCAUGGCCUCACCCAGUAGUAUCUGGCAUUGCAGUGAGCUGUGGUGUAGGCCAUAGAUGUGGCUCGGAUCCUGCGUUACUGUGCCUGUGACUUAGGCCGGCAGCUGCAGCUCCAAUUUGACCCCUGGCCUGGGAACUUCCAUAUGCUGCA
rnacentral:lncRNA from 1 species